GGUAUGUUAUUUGGGGCAUCGUAGAUGGUUGGAAAAGGACCAUAAAUUUCGAUAUGAGCGCAUGUCUUUUGAUGGGACCGUUGAAUUUCGUCCUUGUCCAACUCGUUUAUCUGGUCGUGAAGUCUUAGCAAUGUUUCCCGCUAACUAUGUGAAUAAAUUUGGAAUGGAGGGGGAUGAGGAUUUACCUGUUACAAAAAAAAGAAAGACACGCGAUGGAGAAGAUGAAGAUGAUUUACAAGGUAAUUGGAAGAAAAAGAACAUUUUGAUCUAUCGACUUGGGAGGAAAAUCCGCUUCGACACAAUCUUGAUGUGAUGCAUAUUCAGAAAAAAUUGUGUGAAAGCUUGGUCGGGACAGUAAUGGAUCUUGAUGGCAAAGGGAAGGACAACUUAAAUAUGCGUCGUGACCUUCAACUAAUGGAGAUUCGAAAGGCGAUGCAUCCCCAAAUUCUAGAUGGUGGCAAAGUGUAUCUGCCUCAUGCAUGCUUUGCAAUGAACAAUAAGGAGAAAACUAUGUUCUGCAAUUUGUUGAAGAAUGUGAAAGUUCCAGAUGGCUAUGCUUCUAACAUUUCACACUGUGUCAAUGUAAAAAAGCGAACCAUAUCUGGACUAAAGAGUCACGACUACCAUAUAUUGAUGGAGCAAUUUCUUCCAAUUGCAGUAACCAGAACACUUCCAAAGAAAGUGAGUAAGCCAGUGAUAGAGCUAUGCAAUUUCUUUAGGCAAUUGUGUUCGAAAGUUGUAAAGGUUGAUGACUUGGAUAACCUUAAAUCUCGAAUAGUGCUCACUUUAUGUCAGCUCGAAAAAAUAUUUCCUCCAUCCUUUUUUGACAUAAUGGAGCACUUGAUUGUUCAUUUAGUUGAGGAGGUAAAGUUGGGUGGUCCCGUGCGGUUCCGAUGGAUGUAUUACGUCGAAAGGUAUCUUAUGACACUUAAGAGAUAUGUGCGUAAUCCAGCUCGUCCGUAGGGCUCUAUUGCAGAGGGGUACUUCGUUAAAGAAUGCAUGACAUUGUAUUCUGGGUACUUGGGUGAUGUUGAAUCCAAGUUAAAUCGACCCGUGAGGAAUGAUGAUGGAGGUGAUGCGGGUCAAGUAGGGGGCCGUCCUUUAGGAAAGCAAGAAAAGUUUUCUCUUAAUCUCCUACAAAAGACACAGGCUCAUCGAUAUAUCCUAUUUAACACUGAAUCCAUCACUCCGUAUCGAGAGAAGCACUAUGAAUUUCUUAAACAACGUAAUCGUCGAAUUCGAGAUCGUGAACUUGAACGCCUUCACCAUGAAACGUUUCCCAUUUGGUUUCGCACCCACGUAAGUCAUGUAUUUUAGUACUACUAUAGAAAUCAAAUCCUUAAUGACAAUUUUGAGUAUUCAUUUUAUAUAAUUUCUCUUAUAGGUCCACAAGUUACAACUUGAGGGGUCCGAAGAAGUAUCAGAUGAGGCUGCAAUUCAGGCGUUGGGUCCUCGUGACACAACAAUUAGAUUUAGUGGCUAUAUCAUCAAUGGGGUUAGAUAUCACACCAAAGAGCGUGAGCUUAAAAGGAAAACACAAAACAGUGUAGUUAUGUUGAACUAGUAGUUAUUUGAGCGCCAGAGAUAUGAAUCCUCAAGAAGGAGAUGUCACAUAUUACGGAAGGAUCACAGACAUGGUGGAGUUGUAUUAUACACACGACCACAAACAUGUGCUAUUCAACUGUGACUGGAUAGAUAACAAUCGGGGUUUAGUACCGAAUGAUGAAUUUGACUUCACACUUGUCAAUUUCAAUUGUUUGCUCUAUACAACAGAACAUGCCUCCAACGAACCAUUUAUACUAGCAUCUCAAGCUCAACAAGUUUUUUAUGUGCAAGAUCUGGCCAAAGAAGAUUGGAGCAUUGUAAUCAAAAUGAAACCUAGAGAGUCGUUUGAAAUUUGUGAAGUUGGGGAUGGUCACAUAGCAGACAUUGAAGUAGAUGGAAUCUAUCAGCAACAAGAAGAUGAUACAACAUUGCAUGAUGAGGAUAACGUGUGGAUUAGGGAUGAUUUACCUGGCCUAACACUAAAUGAUGAUGUCAAUACGUAGUAAUUCAGGAAGUGUUUGGUUGCAAGUAUGAGAGAAAUUUUAGUUAAUAUCUUUAUGUUAAUAUCAGAAACUUGUCUCUUUUCUAGUAGUUCGAAUAUAUCUAUUGACGUUAAUAUCUGAUACUUGUCUAUUUUAUUUUAGCAAUUCCAAUCAAAAUGUACGAUUACGGUUACUUUUGUCAUGUCUAUUUCCUUUUAGCAGCAA